GCCGGUUUAGCUCAGUUGGUAGAGCAGCUGAUUUGUAAUCAGCAGGUCGUCGGUUCGAGUCCGACAACCGGCUCCA
rnacentral:tRNA from 1 species